rnacentral:lncRNA from 1 species
ACAAGCCCUCCUCUCUCAGCCGACCCACCGGUCUCCACCAACAGCAGCAACCCACAAGCCAGCAGACCCAGCUCACCGCCUCCAGCAGAGACGUCGGUGGCUCCAGCUCUGACCGACCCCUCGCCACCACCGGAAGCAGAGAAGAAGGCGAAACCGAGAAGAAGCAGAGGCGCAACGGAGAAGAAGAGACUGAGAGGCAGAUCCGAAA